AGGCUGCUGGGAUUGAUGGCUCUGACAGUGUUGCACUACUGUCUACACAAAUUAAGCAGUGCAAUAAUAUUGUCAAAGCAUUUGGUUCCAGUCC
rnacentral:pre_miRNA from 1 species